rnacentral:misc_RNA from 1 species
UUGGUUUUGUUAGUUUUGUGUCUGACAACAGACAGUUUUUCAUAAGUUAAUACUCAGAAGUUUUUGUGAAGUCGUUCUCUUGGGUUGUGAAGCCAAGCGAAAGAUUCAAAUCAGUGGUCUAAAUGACAGCUCAGAAGUGGACUGCUUCAGGUAUUCCUUUAUCAGUCCUUGUCUCUGCUCUGUAAAAUGAAGAGUUGCCUCUUCGAAAAACGGUACGCGGGUCGAAAAGUGUGCUGAAGCUAUUGCUAGCGACAACUCACUUUUUUGAAAAGGGUGUGGUAAUGAUCCUUCCGCAGGUUCACCUACGGAAA